UACGUAGGUGGCAAGCGUUGUCCGGAUUUAUUGGGUUUAAAGGGUGCGUAGGCGGCCCUGUAAGUCAGUGCUGAAAUAUCCCAGCUUAACUGGGAGGGUGGCAUUGAUACUGCGGGGCUAGAGUACAGAUGAGGUAGGCGGAAUUGACGGUGUAGCGGUGAAAUGCUUAGAUAUCGUCAAGAACACCUAUAGCGAAGGCAGCUUAUUAGGCUGUAACUGACGCUGAGGCACGAAAGUGUGGGGAUCAAACAGG
rnacentral:rRNA from 1 species